CUGUCUGUUUUCUGCUUGCUGCUAACCUUAUUCGUCCAGCAGAGGGUGUCGAGCUACAGGAGGAAUGUGGACAGGUGUUUCCCAUCUUCUGAUCGCCGUGUACGCUACUUAAGCCGUGGCUGCCUGCUACUCGUCGCCUGAGUGUUGAGCCUAUGUGGUAAUCAUCUCGAGCCAGUUUUUGGGUUUUGAUCUGCUCUGUUCCUUUCUGACAUUUGUGUUUUUGCCUUAGGUAUCAGUAACCUUGAUGUCCAUCGAUCCCUUAACUAUUCCUCGAGCGCUUGGAGCCUUUUGGAUUACCUGUCUGGAAUUCUACGUACACUCCUGGACUGAGCAAUCUUCACCUUUUACUGGAUUUGUGCUACAUUACGACAAGCGUACUUCUCCUGCAGACCUGUCCACCCUCCUAUGUAACUCCUGCUUCACCUUCCGCUCGCUUUCCACAGAAAGCACGUUUCGCUGUGAGCUCUACUUCAGUUCUCCUAAACCCCGUCUCCCCUGGCGGAUUCCGUUCACUCUCUAUUGGAGAGACCAGAUCCCUGUCAUCCCUGUGUAGAAUUUAGAAAUAAUAAACUUCUUUUCACCGU